rnacentral:sRNA from 1 species
CCGUCACCUAGCCCGACGGGGCGAAAGGCUGGGCACCCUUCCCGGCUUGGUGGCGGCUCCUAUUUCAAAGG